GGCUUUCGGGUCGUAAAACGUCUGUUGUUAGGGAAGAACAAGUACUGGAGUAACUGCUUGUACCUUGACGGUACCUAACCAGAAAGCCACGGCUAACUACGUGCCAGCAGCCGCGGUAAUACGUAGGUGGCAAGCGUUAUCCGGAAUUAUUGGGCGUAAAGCGCGCGCAGGCGGUUUCUUAAGUCUGAUGUGAAAGCCCACGGCUCAACCGUGGAGGGUCAUUGGAAACUGGGGAACUUGAGUGCAGAAGAGAAAAGCGGAAUUCCACGUGUAGCGGUGAAAUGCGUAGAGAUGUGGAGGAACACCAGUGGCGAAGGCGGCUUUUUGGUCUGUAACUGACGCUGAGGCGCGAAAGCGUGGGGAGCAAACAGGAUUAGAUACCCUGGUAGUCCACGCCGUAAACGAUGAGUGCUAAGUGUUAGAGGGUUUCCGCCCUUUAGUGCUGCAGCUAACGCAUUAAGCACUCCG
rnacentral:rRNA from 2 species